ACGGAGGGUGCGAGCGUUAAUCGGAAUCACUGGGCGUAAAGCGCACGUAGGCGGUGUCGUAAGUCGGAUGUGAAAGCCCUCGGCUCAACCGGGGAACUGCAUUCGAUACUGCGAUGCUUGAGUGCCGGAGAGGGAGGCGGAAUUCCAGGUGUAGGGGUGAAAUGCGUAGAUAUUAGGAGGAACACCAGUGGCGAAGGCGACUUUCUGGCCUAUAACGGACACUGAGGUGCGAAAGCGUGGGGAUCAAACAG
rnacentral:rRNA from 1 species